rnacentral:rRNA from 1 species
ACGGAGGAGGCAAGCGUUAUCCGGAAUUAUUGGGCGUAAAGCGUCCGCAGGUGGUAUUGUAAGUCUGCUGUCAAAGACAGAAGCUCAACUUCUGAAAGGCAGUGGAAACUGCAAAACUAGAGUACAGUAGGGGUAGAGGGAAUUCCCAGUGUAGCGGUGAAAUGCGUAGAGAUUGGGAAGAACACCGGUGGCGAAGGCGCUCUGCUGGGCUGUAACUGACACUGAGGGACGAAAGCUAGGGGAGCGAAUGGG